UGCACAGGCAAUCCGGAGAAGGAAAUAAUUCUAGUUCUGUCUGGUUCAGCAGAAACUCCACCCACUGAAGCUUUCCGGCAGGAAAUCAAGUUACAAACAUUACAUGAUCUGAGCAAAUUCUCAUACACUGAGCCUACCCUGGGGACAGGACACUUUUGCUGGCUGCUUAUUGAGGCUGAAGUUUUAGAUAUCUUAACCCUUUCUGGAGGAACGUCACAGUUUCUUGUGCUGGCCAGGCUGGGGAGUGAGAAGGAAAAUGGUUUUGUGAUAUUUGGGGUCACGCUUUGGCAGCAAAGAAGCCCCGAAAGCUGUCUUUACGUGGAGGGAAGAAGGGGAGGGCUGGGAAGUCUUUCUUCUGCUCGCUUUUCCUACUGAAAAAUCGAGCUCUGUCAACAAUAUGUUUCCUGGAACACCCUAAAGAUGACCAAAAAACGUGUGGUUUCUGGCACCGGCCUGACCGUGCAAGUGAAACCUCUCAAUGGAGAAAGGAACCAAAUGGGACUUGGACUGUUCCACACCCAUUGUUUUCUAUUAGCAGAAAGGCCUGAAAGACAAUAGGAGAAAAGCUGCUGUGGUAAAAAUUUCGGGCACCUACAGCUUCCGUGAAGGGUUAAGAGAAAUUGCAACCUGCACGUUUAAAUGAUAUAAGGAGCCUUAAGGAAGUAAACCUUGACGCUUGCUAGCAGCCCUGAGAGUUAAAAUGAAAAAGCAUAAGGAGAGAGCCUUUCUUUUUGCCUCCUGGGAAGCAAAAAAAAAGCAGCACAGCUCUUCUUUUUCCCUUUAUCCAAUUACCAGCAGAGCAGACAAAUGUCUGAAGGUGAGAAAGGAGGAAAGGUGGGAGCUGCCUGCAGUGACAACAAGGCUGCUUUUCGCCUGCUGGCCUUUUUAGGAGGACUUGCAGCCUCUCGGUGUGAUGCUGGAGGGUGGAAGGUGGCGAUGGCCCCUGCUAGCAUCGCUUUCCGCCCGAGCACGCCGUGUGUCGUGCCUCAGAUUUCCUUUUUGUUCGCCUAAGGAGCGGAGCAUCUCCCGAUGAAGGUCACAGCUUUGAUCCCCACGGCUCGCUCUCGUGUUUAUGGAUGGCCAUUAUUAGUAACAGAGGCUAGUGCCUGCACUUCUCCGUGUCUGCCCUUGGCUGGCUGCAAGGGAGCAGGGGCAGGAUAACAAAAGAAAGUAUAAAUAGAGCCUUUUUAAAAGCCUGUUAAAUAGAAAUAGACUUUUAGGGAGGAGGGAGAGGGAAUGAGGCGUGUUACCAUAGUAACUGCCAAUGGUUUAUUUAAAAAGGGCAAAGAAACAAACACCACAAAAAGGCGAAGCCGAGAGGAGCUGGAGAUGUGCUGGAGGAAUCUAUCGGGGUGCAGACGCCGAGGGGCCAGGUCAGGUUGUUGCAGCAGGCAAGAGCAUGCGGGCUUCCUCACUCAUUCCUCCAAGCUCCCAGACCUUAAAGAAAGGUCAAAAUAAGCUUUAAUCGUAGGAUCAGGGACAUUUGGUGGUGGAAGAGACCAUCUGCAGCAGAAAUGGAGGUCAGAGCCAUGCGGUCACCCCAUCCUUCUGGAUCUGCUUUUUCCACCUGCGGAGGAGGCUGCUUCCUGCUUGAAGACUGCCUUGUGCUAAAUUCUGCCUGUUCACGGGACAGGAAGAUGCUUUCUGCCCUGGAGAGCUCAUAGCACGAGAAAAGAAACAGCGGAUGGAAAAGCAGGUGUGAUGGUGCCCAGCAGCACUGUGAUGGGACCCUUCCACUCUCAACACUAAAGGCUCGAAGACCAGAAGCAACUCGAAAGUCCUCGCAUUUGGUUUGUCUUUGGCUGUUUUGUUUUGAAUCUUGUAGUUUCUAAAUCAGUGUAAGGAUUUCCCAGUGCCUGACUCAUGACUUUGAAAACCUCAGGGCUGGUACAACUGAAAGGGUUCAAAUGGCAGAGAAGCCACAAAGAGAGAACGAGCUGCCCUGUGAGGCGAACUCAGAAUUGCGAAAAAAAUUCUACUUUCUUCAAAAAACCACACCAGCAGCUUUAUCAGGGAAAGGGAAACAAUUGCAAAGAGCCUCCAGCCUCUUUGCAGACACCAUGGGCUUUCCCAUCUUAUUUGGCUUCAGGACACAGUUUAAAACAAUACCAUCUCUACUCAUAUAACCGGGAGGGAGACUGUCGCACCAAGAGGGUUACAUAUAUUUAAAAUCCCUGGAGUAGGAGCUGAAAGCCCCAUUUCUCCCUGGAGCAAUCCCAAAAAAAGGGUCGGUUUCCUUCUCCAACACCUCUCCGCUCGCUGUGUGCGGUGUGGUGGUGGCGUGACAGCUCCCGCUGGUCCCCGAGAUGAAGCUGGAUGCACAGCCUAGAAGGCUGAUGGCUCUUUGAGCCCAUCAGCACAGGCAUGUUGGCCAGGGGAUGGGAAUGAUUUCAUCCAGAAAGGGCCCUAGGUUACCUCACUCAGGCCAAUUUUUUUGUGCAAAACCAAACCUGCGGGUGGUGUCUUUAUUUUUAGCUUUGGAACCAAAUUCUCUCCUUUUUCUCCCCCAGAGCAAGAGGCGAAUCAGAACCCGACAGCUCCCGCUGUCUCCAUUCCCCUGACCCUAUGGAGAGUCAUCCCAUGUGCCCACCCAGGCAUGAGAAAUUCAGGGUGAGCAUUUUCGGAAGGUUUCACACAGUCUUUGAUGUCUCCUAGCCUGGGAAAUCGGUUCCCCUCCUGCUUCCCAGCUUGGAAGGUCUCCCUGUGGUAUCUGCAAGAGAUAACGCUCCCUUUCACUGUCUGAGCUCUGGGCCAGCCUGACUGCUUGCCUCUCCUCUUUGGGGCUGCAGAAGGGACAUUUCCCUCCAGAUAUUGCAGAAGGACCCUUUCAGAGAGGCUGCUCCGCCUGCAGAGCCAGGCAGUCCGAGCUGCUCCUCUCCAUGCUCACAGAGAUUGAGUUAUGCCAGGCUUUGACCUAAGUGAAACUGCUGACGGUCACAGGGAUUUGACUAAUCUCCUUAGUUCGCUGUGAAAUUUGCUAUUCCUUUUAGGGAAUAGAUUUUUAUUUUUUUUUAAUGAUUUUUUUUUCCCUUUGGGCUAACUCGCAAUGUAAAAAUAAACCGAAGCCCACGGUGGGAGAUUAAUUUCCUCCCGAACUCAGGAAGGGCAGGCAGUCAAUGCAAGAUCCUCCUGGCCCAUCCCAGGAGGAUGCUGCUCCUGGAUUCAUUCCUGGAGACAGCUGCUGUCCGACCUUGCCGUAAGACUUCCUUCCCCAGUGCUCUCCUCCUGGCCCUGCUGCAGCCCCCUGGGGUCUGAGUGCAGCCCAUGGGCACAGCCCAAGCCUUUUCCUUCCCUCCUCACUCUGCUGUGCCUCAAAUUCCUGUACAAGCAACACUUCUGGGGGUGGGAAGCUGAAAUGAUGAGAUCCUUGUUUCUAGUCCUCUAUGAUCUAUCUCCUAACGGAGAGGGAAACCUCAUCUCCCCAGGGAUCCAAUUUCCAGGGGCUGAGGAAUAAUUCACCUCCAUCCACGUGGCUUGUGGUGCUGUAGGAUUCUCUAAGGGGAUUUGGGUCCUUUUGGGGGGAAAAACGCACUCCCGUGGCUCUCCCCAUCACUCCAGCUGCCACCAAGCUCCUGUCCUCUCUGCAGCACAGGAGGAUUUGCACCACACUCGUGAUACAUCUUUUAAUUAACCAGCAUUACCCUGUCUUUCCUGGCUCUCCAAUUCCUCCCAUCCCAAAUGACAUUUUAGGGCAGAUUCCUUAUAUAUUAUAAACUCCUCAAACACCCCCAAAACCAGCAGUGCAUUGUGCCUUUACACCUGAAAUACUGCAGAAACAGCAGAGCACCUUCCACGUGGAGCUUUGCACGUGGGUCUUUGUGACAAAGAAGCCUCUGUAGGCUCCCUGGUGCCUAUAGCUGCUGCACAAUGCUGGCAUUUCUCAAAUAAUAAAGGACGGGUUGCUCACACAAAUGCCAGAGCUGGGCUCCUUUUUGUUGGGCUCCAGGGGUUCCCGUUUCUAGACAUUCCCAUGAAUUAAGCUGAGCAAGCUGGCAGGGGAGGAACGGUCUCUGAAUGUUGGCAUGAAAAGCCCAACCACAAAUUCAACUGUCAUUGUCCUCCUGCUUUGAAAGCUUUAAGCCCUUCAAUUAAGGAGAAAUGACAAUACCCAGAGUGGGAUUCCUUUGCUCUUCGUUUGGCACCUAAAAGUGAGAUGUCUGACUUGAGAUGAACUAGUCACCGUCGGCUCCCUUUAUUUCUGAUGCAGAGGAAUAGGAAGAACCAGAGCGUGAUUCAAUCCUCAGCAGUAUCCGAGAGAGGUCAGAUGAAUCACAGGCUAUAAAAGAAACCGAAGUCGUGUGGCCAGGCAUAAAAGACUGCGCUUUAGGUGCAUAAACUUAACAGAGAUGAAUUCCUCUCCUGUGACUCAAGUGGUCGAUCACACGAUGCCGUGACAAGCUGACCAUGCUGAGUAAUGCUGCUCUGAUUUCAUGACUCGCCUUCAUCCCUGACUCUUUUUCCUGCCAGUGUGAAGGUGCAGCACGGUGCUAUUGACUCAUUUCCUAGCUCUCUGUGGCCGGACUGUGCGAGGUAUUAUCUAGCUGGCCACCGAGCAUGUGCUUGACUUCUGGAGGAGCAAUUGUGGCCUUACCUCGUGCUUCCAACUUGCUGUCCUUCCUGUCCUCUGAGACAAAGCAUCUUUGAAUGAAUGGAAGUGCUAAGGGGCAAAAUAGCUCAGCCCUGUGAUUCUGAGAGGUCAUGAUGUGAUGCUUGGGAGCUCACGCUGACCGGGGAAGCUGGAGAAGAGGCCUUGUGAGAGGAGCAAGGAGGGGAAUGGAGUAAGGAUGAAUCUGUGAAUUUGAGUCCUUUCAAAGACAGAAAUCAUCUAGCACAAGGUAAUGAGGAAAUCCUAGAAUCAGGGGAAACGGGGCUGAAAGGUAGACUUGGAGAGAUUGUGUAAUCUAUCCCAGAAAAGGGUCUAUUCUAUUCUAUUCUAUUCUAUUCUAUUCUAUUCUAUUCUAUUCUAUUCUAUUCUAUUCUAUUCUAUCUAUUCUAUUCUAUUCUAUUCUAUUUCUAUUUCUAUUUCUAUUUCUAUUUCUAUUUCUAUUCUAUUCCCAGUCAUUGAAAGAUAGAUGAUUUUUUUAGAAGGAUGUAGAGACGCUCCUGCAUUUUUCCUGAUGCUUUGGAUCCAUGUCCAGUGGUUCACGUGGUUUAUUGUGCAACGAGCAGCAUUAACGCUGGGGAGUUUCUUCUCCCAGUGCAUUACUAGAAGUUUUUUUGAAAGCUUUCCCUAGAAUUCUCUGGCUAGGUUAUCCCUAGAAAUUUCCAGCUGGGAAAUGGGACUAAUAAGCAGUCGGGUCCUCCUCCUCUGAACCUCAAGGGCACAUCAUUGACGCCAUGCUUCCCUAGGACCCUCCUUCACCAGUGGGAAUCUGUUUCUUGUUCCCCGUGAUAUGUGACAGUUGUCUGAAUUUGAGAGCUGAAAUAGAUGUGCCAGACCGUGACGGGGAAAAGCGCCUUGGGCAGGGCAGAUGGGAGGGAGCCAGCAGGGAGCAGAGUCACAGGCCGGCUCGUGGCCUUGUCUCUACCUUCCUUGUUUCUUUUAGCAGGCAGGGAAGGAGGGCUGUUGGCCAGGGCUGUGCUUCUUCUGAGCUGAGGACAUGGAGAAACCAUGCACAUGCCUCUGGGGAUGUACGUGCAGCUAAGACCAGUGUGCAGAGCGGGCACACGACGGUGCUUGCUGUAGAGGAGAGGGCAGCAGAGCCUGGCUGGGUGAUGGCAGUGCUAGGUAGCAUCAUCAAGGAUGAGAAGAGAGCUGUGAGACCAGAACUAACCCUGCCUGCUCAGAAUUCACUGCUCAAAUUCAGGUGUAAUGCACUCAGCAAGCGGCCUCUGGGAGGACGGGGACCCCUUGGUGCUGAGCAGUGCACAGAAUUUCAGGUGGGAUUGGAGGUGACCUCUCAGGUCACUAAGCCCUGUCCUGGCUGGUACUGGCACUCUUAAUGCCAACAUUAAGCACCUGAGAUGCACCCGAGCUGCUUUGCCCACUGUCUGGGCCAGAUCAUGCCCAGAAACCCUAAAGUCAUCUGGCUUUGAGUGCUCAGUGCUGCGACAGGGCUUGCUGGGCUAAAACGCUGCUACACCCAUCCCCUGGGAGAGGUCCUUAAAAAAAAAAAGAGACUUGUUUCUCUUGCAAAGCCUGAGAGACCUUGAAUACUUUAAAUCACAUUAGCUAUUCGUACAGCAAUAAUUAAAUAAUGCCGAAUGCUCCAGAGGGAUGUGCUCAGUAGCUCCAUGACCUUACUGGCAGAAGCUCUCCCCUCCUUUCUGCGUGUAAGCACCCGAGGGUGUUGCUCCAAUUAACCUCUGAGCUCCUGAACAGAUCCCCAUAAUCCUAAAGAGAUUUUCCUGCCAAUCUGGUGGAGGCUUAUGGGAAAGGAGCAGUGCCUCGAGUCGGUUGGGGUGGGAACAAGUCCUUUCCAUUUCCUCAUUCCUCGUAGCUUCGAGGUAUUGCGUGCUUGGUCUAAGCCUCCCUUGUGUGGUGCCUUAGCCCGUGGUGAUGGCUGAACUUUAUUCUGACAUACACGAGGGGUGAGAGGAGCAUUAUUCAUCCCUACAUGACGUGCCUGCUAUGGGCACACCUUGUUUGGUUAGCAUCAGGGAAGGGAUUUUGGUUCUGGAGGUUAGGGUCAGCCUCGCCUGAACUGUUUUGUGGUUUCACUUCAGUCACCUGAAAUACUCCCUGCUCUUGGGGUGCUGAGACACCAAAAGCAUUGAGAAGCCAAGCCUUUUUACUCCAUCUCAUGGCAGACAACAAAAGGAUUGAGGUUCUCUGGAGGUCUGGUCCCCAUGUCCAAGUGCUCUGGAGUCCACAGGCUUUGGGCAUCAAAAUCCUGCUCCAAAUGUCCUCGUCCCGCACCGCUGCAAUCCACGUGGCUAUUGCUGGAGCUGCUUUGGUGUCUGAGAGCCAGCAGGAUUUGGCCUUCAGGGACAGCUGAGAAAACCACCUCCACCUGAAGGCGUCAGGCUGGGGUGGAGGAAUUAAUCUGGCAGGAGGAUUGCCCCGGCGGGUCAGGCAGAGAGGCGCACGGGGAGGGCUGGAUGGGUUCAGACCACGCUCUCGUGUGUUUGCGUCUCCCCUCGGUUCCCACGCCUCUGCACUUCCUUGUUUAGCCCAGGCCCGGAAGCAAAACUGCUGAAAUGCGAGGAGGAAAGUCAUUCUCAUGGUGUUUCCAGCUCAAACCGAACCAGGAGGGAGAGAGGAAAUCCCAUGAGAAAGCCUCGUGGAUUGCCAGCCCGCUCCCGCUCGGGGCCGUGGUGCUCUCCUGGUGUCUCCUCUGAGCCCUGAGCUCUUGCCGUGCUUCCAGGAGCAUGGAAAUCCCACAGCACCAGAGUGACAGCGAUACCGGGGUCUAGAAACUUCCAGCAGCCCCGUGGAGCUUUACUUUUCUCUGCUCCAGCCUGGAGACGGAAAGGAGCAGUGGGUUUGCUGCUUGUUCCCACCGUGGAUGAAGAUGAUGAGGGUGGCUUCUGCAGACCAGAGGUUUUCCUGUUGAUGGCCAAGGGAGAUGGAGCUCCUUUUGGGCACUUCAUGCUCAGGUGGGGUAUUCAGGAGAUAACUAGGGAUUUUGAGUGGGAAAGCAAGCUCAGAAUGGGCACCAGUAGCACCAGUAUCCUCAAAUGGAUCCACAUUUCCUCACACGAGGCAUGAGAUCCACCAGGGAAAGGAGGUCAAAUUUGGGCACCACUGUAGCCUCUCCUGACACGGUGAUGCCCCAUCAGUUGCAGUUGCCCCAUCAGCUCUGCGAUGCAGAUGAGGCCACCAGACUGCACGGGAGAGGGAGGUAUCAGGGGUUAGGAUGGAUGCUGCAGCCAGGCAUCACCAAAAAUCACGCUAGGAUGUGGUAGAAGCAAGAAACACCCCCCAGUACCUGGCUGCUGCCUGCUGAUGCCACGAGGGAUCCACUCUGGGCAUCGCUCCCCCACCUAACACAACCCUAACGAGUGGCCGGUCCCAUUCAUCCCGGUGUCCUUCCCAGCAGCGGGCUGUGCCUGUUAACCACAGACCAUGUUAAAACGAAAAGCGUUUCCUCACCUAUUUACUUUUACAUUUAUCAGCCCUUGCUGCCGCCGAGCGAUGCCAGUAAUUAGGAGCUUGCUGCAUCCCCAGCUUUGGUUCCGCAGCGCAGCCGAUGCAGCAGCAAUUAAUCUCCCAGCAAGCACAGGGGAGGUGAAUACGGCAGCUCUGGGGCCAGAGAUAAUCUUGGGAUAAUUUAUAAUUGCAAAGCCAUGCCCGGAGUGGGAGAGACCUCUGGGAGUUGCUUUGCUUUUCGGUUCAGAGAGGAGGCUGAAUGACAGAGGGCUGGUGCUGGCCGGCUUAUUUGUCCCGUCGUUUGCAUUGGAAGCCUUCCAUCUUCUGGCACCGAGGGCUUUGGGAUGGAUUUUGUCUCCCUUCAGAAGAGCUGAGCAGCCUGAAGCAGGUCUCGGCUGAAGGGUGGGUGGAAUGCAAGCUCUGAUUCCUCCCUGUCGUGACUGAGAAUAACUUGCCACAAAGGAAGAGAAAAAAAGAAAAAAAAAAAACACCCAAGGAGACAGGGUUCGUGCUUGCUAUCUUACAGAUCCUUAGAGAAGCUCCAGGAGUGAUGCUCUGCCUCUUUUUUUUUUUUUUUGGUGUAUAGCGACCCUAGGGAGCCAGCUUUUAAGCAUCAGUGCUUCAGCUGAGUGUGUUUGAAAUCCCCCAAAGGCCCCAAGUCUCUGGCACACCACCAGGUACCAGGCAGCUGAUGCACCCUGCAGAUGGGGGGACAGUGGCACCUGCAGCUCCUCCACCGCACUCAUACGUCCCCUGCACCUCUGCCCAGCCUUUGUGGGAACAGUUUCCCUCCCAGGAGGACAGGGGUAUGAGCUUGGCGUGGAAGCACAGAAGAAAUCCCAGGUUCCUGGUUCUCCAGCAAGAAGGACAUGAGUCAUUCCCAGCGUGGAUAAAGCCCUGUAACCUAUUCCCACUGCUUUUUCCCUCCCUGGGGGCUGACAUUGCAAGUACCAGUGGAAAUCUCUGGAGGGUCGAUAGGGAACUUCUGGUAAUCCUCACCCAAAUUUCCUUAACCUCCAUAAGUGCUUCUUCUGCAUCACACCUCCAAGCUGGACCUGGGUGGUCUUGGGAGAGUAGACAGUGUCCAUAGGCACCCACUUAGCCUUGUCCCUUAUUUUCCUUUAUUUUUUUUAAUUGUUGGGGAAGGGUGCUUCCAAGAGCAUCUGCGGGAGGUGGAAGGGUAAAAGGAUAGCUGGCUGCUAUCAUGACCCAUCACAGCUGAGAGUCCCAAUUCUGCCCAGCCACUGUGGUCUGACCAAGACUCCGGAGCCUGAGAGCAGGAUUUGGCUCACGUGCUUUCCCUUUGGGACCUGGAAAACCUUCAUCAGAUGCAAAUCCAUUGUACAGGUGUGAAAUGAAUUCUCUGUUCCAUUUCCCUGCAUCGCUAGAUAAGCAUCGCUGGCUAUUUUUGAACCUACAGAAGAGGACAUUGAGACCCAACAAUGUUAUGGGUCCGAGCCAAAGCUACGUGAGCCAGUGGUGAAGCUGGUGAUGUGUUGUGUGCUUAAAGUUAAGGGUUUUCUUAGGGUCUGAUGGGCUGGAGUUAGGAACAAGACCCCAACACUCUCAGUGCUAAUAUUUAGCAUAGAGUUGAACAGGGUUUUGGGCAGGUUUUUUCCUAGUAACGGGGAGGUUUCAUGCUGAGGAUCAGGGAUGGUGAGGCACAGUGCCAUUAAUACGAGGUGUACAAGCACAGUAAAAUGAGCUUCACAGAGCCAGCAGGGGAAAUACAGUAGGAAACAUACAGCUCUACAAAGAAGAAGCAAGAAAUUGGGACAGGCCAUCAAAUGACCUCUUUACAAAUAAAUUAUAGGUACCAAAGAGAUGGGUCUGGUCAAGAAGAAACUUUGAUUUCCAUCAAAUUCUCCUUGUGAGACUCCUUCUGGAAAGAAGAGAAGCAGCAGAUGCCACGUGCCUUAGAUCCAGCAGGGCUUUCAUCCCUGAUUUUCUCCUAAACCAUCUGAAAUGUAUGGCUUGGAUGCUUAUUAAUGUGGCCUCCAAGAGGGGAAGGGGAAGGUGAUUGUGGCUCUGCAGGGUGGAUGAGCUUAGAGAGGAGCCUUAUUUUGGUGGAUAUGAAGAAGACUGGUAAUGGCACUGGAGGAUGAAGUUGAGAUGUAGGGUGGCUUUAGCUCAGGGGAGGAAAAGCCUAAAAAGAGUAGAGUGAGCUUCAGUCAGGAGAGACACGGGGUGGAAUAAGGCAGCAGCUGCUGCACAAAUACAGAAUGGGGAACAACCGGUUUGGGCAAUGGGUUACCAGGCGAAUGUGAGUCAGGAAAUCCACCCUCUUCUAGAGGGAGCAGAGAGCAUGCUGAGAGGUGUAAACAAGCACAUAGCCCAGCCUGAAAGUCAAAGUUACGUGCUUGGAAGUGGGGCAGUGCAUUUCUGUCACCAUGCUCUAAGUCGGGAAAAGAAUGAUAGAAAGUCUUGGGAAAUCUAAUGUAGGAGGAAAGGUUUGAAGAACUGGGGUUUUUAGCUUAAGGAGGAGAAGCCCAGCCCCCCUGGGUUAUCACAGAGGGCUUCGUGAUGUAAAAAUUCACCGUAAUAGAAAAAGAAAUGUUGGCACAGCUUGCUGAAUUUCUCUUACAAAUACAUCCUGAAUUCUCCUGAGAUUAAAUACGGCUCAGUUAAUAGGAGAGGCCAUUCUUCUGGGAACCAGCAUCACAUACAGAUAAUUAAUGAUUACGAACGCUGCAGGAUGUGAGAGCCUGAGCAAAGUUUUUGACUGCAAGGUGCUCCAGCAAGUCUUAACUCACUGUGGACAUUUGGGAUUUGAUAAAGCUGUUGCCAAAAAGGAGUGCGGAGAAGUACUAAUUAUAUAGACUACAGCGCAGCAACGAUGCCAGUAUAACUCUUAUUCCUGCCUAUAUUCAGUAUGAUAUUCAUUGUCAGCUGAAAUCUCUUGGGAACUUUGCUCUUUUCUUUUUAUUGAGCCUGGCUGUUUAAUGGGUAUUAAAACCGAGCGGUAUUAUUCAUUCUGAAAUAGCAUGUCCAGCAAAUGAAGUUAUAUUUUUCUUUCGCUCUUAAAUCCAGUCUGUUACAGAUUAAUUUGCAGUUCCUAAUGGCUCGAGCAGCAUGAGGUAAUAUUUCAGGAGGUGGGUUGUUUUUCUGCCUGUCUGUGCCCCUGCAGAUGUGAACAGAUAAAUCAGGGUGUGGAGUAUCUGUCCUCGCUCAGCAAGUCAAAUGGUGAGGACAGGGAGUGCUCCUCCAGUGAAUGUUGAGCCAUGCUUCCUUUUAGAUAUGAUGAGGGCAUGGUUUUCGUGGUCUUCAGGGGUGCAACCAAGGCCAUGGUCUUCACCAAGGAUGCAACCAAGGCCGUGGUCUUCAUCAAGGAUACAGCCAAGGCCAUGGUCUUCACCAAGGAUGCAACCAAGGCCGUGGUCUUCACCAAGGAUACAGCCAAGGCCAUGGUCUUCACCAAGGAUGCAACCAAGGCCAUGGUCUUCACCAAGGAUACAGCCAAGGCCAUGGUCUUCACCAAGGAUGCAACCAAGGCCACCCAGAGCUGCCAGCAGGAGGUCCCACGGUGCCUGGCCCCAAGAGCUCUUUGCCAGUCCCAAAUACGUUGAUUAUGGUGUCCAGUGCCCUCUGAUCAAGCAGGAGCAUCUUCAAGCCCUCUGCCCAAGACCUUGGAAGCCUCAAUGGGCAAGAGGCAUCUCGGGGCUGGGAGUGGUGGCUGCGGCAGCAGAUCCCUCAGGUGCUCGGUCUGCUCUGCUGCCAGCCCUUCAAACACUGGGAGAACCAGAGACCACGUCAGGCAACAACCCACAGGUGAGUAAACAGGAAUGCAACAAAUACAUGGCAUAUCCAAAUCAGUUCAGGCUGAUUUUAAGACAAAUAAAUACCAGUUUUCUUUGCUGUGAGAUGUUUUGUUUAAUUUACAAGGGUCUGCCCUCAGCUGCCAGCGCUCUGGUGUCUGAGCAAAGCUACCCUGGCCGUGCUCGAAUAGCAGAUGUGGGUGGAAGAACAAUGA